UACGAAGGGGGCUAGCGUUGCUCGGAAUUACUGGGCGUAAAGCGCACGUAGGCGGUCUUUUAAGUCGGGGGUGAAAUCCUGGAGCUCAACUCCAGAACUGCCUUCGAUACUGGAAGACUUGAGUCCGGGAGAGGUGAGUGGAACUGCGAGUGUAGAGGUGAAAUUUCGUAGAUAUUCGCAAGAACACCAGUGGCGAAGGCGGCUCACUGGCCCGGUACUGACGCUGAGGUGCGAAAGCGUGGGGAGCAAACAGGG
rnacentral:rRNA from 1 species